AUGAUUCUUUUAGCCUAUGAACCUACCAUCAGUGUAAUAUUGGUCUUUAAAUACUUCCAACUUGCAUGGUUUUCUCUCGCCCUUUGCGCCAUUGGCGCAACGGGUCAUCUAGUAUUCUUAAAUGAGGAUGGAAAGGAGACAAAAGUUGUGUUUUCUGUGGGCAAGAUGAAAGCAUUGAUCACCCUUUUUUCUUCUGUAAAUCUCAAAGAUUUCUUUGCUAGAUGGAUCAAGAAAUUCCAGAAACCUAACAAAAAAUUUGUUGUUGUUGGGGUCUCGGCUUUGUUUGGUCUCUCUCGAAGUGUAGAAAUGAUGUGA
rnacentral:rRNA from 1 species